rnacentral:rRNA from 2 species
AGAGUUUGAUCCUGGCUCAGGAUGAACGCUGGCGGCGUGCUUAACACAUGCAAGUCGAACGGUGAAGCCCAGCUUGCUGGGUGGAUCAGUGGCGAACGGGUGAGUAACACGUGAGCAACCUGCCCCUGACUCUGGGAUAAGCGCUGGAAACGGCGUCUAAUACUGGAUACGAGUAGCGACCGCAUGGUCAGUUACUGGAAAGAUUUAUUGGUUGGGGAUGGGCUCGCGGCCUAUCAGCUUGUUGGUGAGGUAAUGGCUCACCAAGGCGUCGACGGGUAGCCGGCCUGAGAGGGUGACCGGCCACACUGGGACUGAGACACGGCCCAGACUCCUACGGGAGGCAGCAGUGGGGAAUAUUGCACAAUGGGCGCAAGCCUGAUGCAGCAACGCCGCGUGAGGGAUGACGGCCUUCGGGUUGUAAACCUCUUUUAGCAGGGAAGAAGCGAAAGUGACGGACCUC